rnacentral:rRNA from 1 species
UACAGAGGCCUCGAGCGUUAGGCGGAAUCACUGGGCUUAAAGCGUGUGUAGGCGGACUUCUAAGUACCUUGUGAAAUCCCACGGCUCACCCGUGGAACUGCUCGGUAUACUGGUCGUCUUGAGCCUUCUAGGGGCGAGUGGAACAAAUGGUGGAGCGGUGAAAUGCGUAGAGAGUCGGGAGGAACACCGGUGGCGAAGGCGGGUCUCUGGGCAAUUCCUGACGCUGAGGCGCGAAAGCGUGGGGAGCAAACGGGG